rnacentral:rRNA from 1 species
AGGCAGCAGUGGGGGAUAUUGGACAAUGGGGGGAACCCUGAUCCAGCGACGCCGCGUGAGUGAAGAAGUAUUUCGGUAUGUAAAGCUCUGUCAGCAGGGAAGAAAGAGAUGACGGUACCUGACCAAGAAGCCCCGGCUAACUACGUGCC